rnacentral:rRNA from 1 species
GCUAACUACGUGCCAGCAGCCGCGGUAAUACGUAGGGGGCGAGCGUUGUCCGGAAUCACUGGGCGUAAAGAGCGUGUAGGCGGCCCGGUAAGUCUGCUGUGAAAACCCGGGGCUCAACCCCGGGCGUGCAGUGGAAACUGCCGGGCUAGAGGGCGGCAGAGGCGAGUGGAAUUCCCGGUGUAGCGGUGAAAUGCGCAGAUAUCGGGAGGAACACCAGUAGCGAAGGCGGCUCGCUGGGCCGUCCCUGACGCUGAGACGCGAAAGCUAGGGGAGCGAACAGGAUUAGAUACCCCUGUAGUC